CCUACGGGUGGCAGCAGUGGGGAAUAUUGCACAAUGGGGGAAACCCUGAUGCAGCGAUGCCGCGUGAAUGAAGAAGUAUUUCGGUAUGUAAACUUCUAUCAGCAGGGAAGAAAAUGACGGUACCUGACUAAGAAUCCCCUGCUAACUACGUGCCAGCAGCCGCGGUAAUACGUAGGGGGCAAGCCCUAUCCGGAUUUACUGGGUGUAAAGGGAGCGUAGGUGGUUUAGCAAGUCAGAAGUGAAAGCCCAGGGCUCAACUCCGGGACUGCUUUUGAAACUGUUUAGCUAGAUUGCAGGAGAGGGGAGUAGAAUUCCUAGUGUAGCGGUGAAAUGCGUAGAGAUUAGGAGGAAUACCAGUGGCGAAGGCGGCUUACUGGAC
rnacentral:rRNA from 1 species